rnacentral:rRNA from 1 species
AACGAACGCUGGCGGCAGGCUUAACACAUGCAAGUCGCAGGAGAAGGGGGCUUCGGCUCCCGGACACUGGCGGACGGGUGAGUAACGCGUGGGGACCUACCCUGGGGUGGGGGACAACCACUGGAAACGGUGGCUAAUACCGCAUACGCCCUAAGGGGGAAAACUCCGGUGCCCUGGGAUGGCCCCGCGUCCCAUUAGCUAGUUGGCGGGGUAACGGCCCACCAAGGCGACGAUGGGUAGCCGGCCUGAGAGGGUGUCCGGCCACAUUGGGACUGAGAUACGGCCCAGACUCCUACGGGAGGCAGCAGUAGGGAAUUUUGCGCAAUGGGGGAAACCCUGACGCAGCAACGCCAUGUGUGGGAUGAAGCAUUUCGGUGUGUAAACCACUGUCGGCAGGGAAUAAAGCCCGCGCAUGCGCGGGGGUGAAUGUACCUGCAGAGGAAGCCCCGGCUAACUUCGUGCCAGCAGCCGCGGUAAUACGAGGGGGGCAAGUGUUGUUCGGAAUCACUGGGCGUAAAGGGAGCGUAGGCGGACGUUUAAGUCGGGAGUUUAAAACCGGGGCCCAACCCCGGGGCGGCUCCCGAAACUGGGCGUCUUGAAUGGGACAGAGGCUGGUGGAAUUGGGGGUGUAGCGGUGGAAUGCGUAGAGAUCCCCAAGAACACCGAUUGCGAAGGCAGCCAGCUGGGUCCACAUUGACGCUGAGGCUCGAAAGCAUGGGGAGCAAACAGGAUAGAUACCUUGGUAGUCCAUGCUGUAAAGGAUGAACACUAGGUUUUGGGCUCGUCAACGGCCCGGAGCCGCAGCUAACGCGUUAAGUGUUCCGCCUGGGGAAUACGGUCGCAAGACUGAAACUCAAAGGAAUUGACGGGGGCCCGCACAAGCGGUGGAGCAUGUGGUUUAAUUCGACGCAACGCGCAGAACCUUACCAGGGCUUGACAUGGGAAGGACCGGACGAGAGAUCGUCCUUCUCCCGCAAGGGAGCCUUCCACACAGGUGCUGCAUGGCUGUCGUCAGCUCGUGUCGUGAGAUGUUGGGUUAAGUCCCGCAACGAGCGCAACCCUCGUUUUUAGUUGCCAUCAGGUCAAGCUGGGCACUCUAAAGAGACUGCCGCGAAUAACGCGGAGGAAGGUGGGGACGACGUCAAGUCAUCAUGGCCCUUACGUCCUGGGCUACACACGUGCUACAAUGGGCGUCACAGAGGGUCGCAAGAGCGCAAGCUGGAGCCAAUCCCCAAAAACGCCCUCAGUUCAGAUCGAGGUCUGCAACCCGACCUCGUGAAGGUGGAAUCGCUAGUAAUCGCGGAUCAGAACGCCGCGGUGAAUACGUUCCCGGGCCUUGUACUCACCGCC